rnacentral:rRNA from 1 species
CCGUAGCCCAAGAGAUCGGGAUAACACCUGGAAACAGAUGCUAAUACCGGAUAACAACAGAUGAUGCCUAUCAACUGUUUAAAAGAUGGUUCUGCUAUCACUCUUGGAUGGACCUGCGGUGCAUCAGCUAGUUGGUAGGGUAACGGCCUACCAAGGCGAUGAUGCAUAGCCGAGUUGAGAGACUGAUCGGCCACAUUGGGACUGAGACACGGCCCAAACUCCUACGGGAGGCAGCAGGG